GAUGAACGCUGGCGGCGUGCUUAACACAUGCCAGUCGAGCGAGAAGUUUUGAAAAGAUUCUUCGGAUGAAAUUUAAAAUGGAAAGCGGCGGACGGGUGAGUAACGCGUAGGCAACCUGCCCCAUACAAAGGGAUAGCAUUUGGAAACGAAUAUUAAUACCUUAUGAAACUUAACUAGUGCAUGCUAGGUAGGUCAAAGAUUUAUCGGUAUGGGAUGGGCCUGCGUCUGAUUAGCUAGUUGGUGAGGUAACGGCUCACCAAGGCGACGAUCAGUAGCCGACCUGGGAGGGUGAACGGCCACAUUGGAACUGAGACACGGUCCAAACUCCUACGGGAGGCAGCAGUGGGGAAUAUUGCACAAUGGGGGAAACCCUGAUGCAGCAACGCCGCGUGAACGAUGAAGGCCUUUGGGUCGUAAAGUUCUGUUCUAGGUGAUGAAAACUGACAGUAACCUAGGAGAAAGCCCCGGCUAACUCCGUG
rnacentral:rRNA from 1 species